rnacentral:rRNA from 1 species
GACGAACGCUGGCGGCGCGCCUAACACAUGCAAGUCGAACGAGGUCUUUUAGGGUGCUUGCACCUUGGCUGACCUAGUGGCGGACGGGUGAGUAACACGUGAGCAACCUGCCGAAGAGUGGGGGAUAACGUCUGGAAACGGACGCUAAUACCGCAUAAUAACACGAGAUGGCAUCAUUUUGUGUUCAAAGGAGUAAUCCGCUUUUUGAUGGGCUCGCGCCCGAUUAGGUAGUUGGUGGGGUAAAGGCCUACCAAGCCGACGAUCGGUAGCCGGACUGAGAGGUUGAUCGGCCACAUUGGGACUGAGACACGGCCCAGACUCCUACGGGAGGCAGCAGUGGGGGAUAUUGCACAAUGGGGGAAACCCUGAUGCAGCGACGCCGCGUGGGUGAAGACGGCCUUCGGGUUGUAAAGCCCUGUUGAGGGGGACGAUAAUGACGGUACCCCUUUAGAAAGCCACGGCUAACUACGUGCCAGCCGCCGCCGUAAAAC